rnacentral:lncRNA from 1 species
AUUUGCUGCUCUGCUGGACCCUGAGUCUGGCGGCGGGCGGCCUCCUCUCCGCUCCCCGCCCGCCAUCCCCCAACUCCCGAUCUCUCUGCUGCGUCUGGCCUCAGGCUGAGACCCCAACGAAUCAUUCCCCGCAUGGGAACAUUUUAUGAUAUAACUGAAUUCAGUUUUAUGUAUAACUGAAUUACGGAUAUGAGAAUCUCAAAUGAGGACGAAUGGUUUUUACGCACAAAACAUGAGACACAAAUCUGUAAGAAAUAUAAAGUCGUGACCACGUCCUUUCAGAACUUUAACCUGUUUGCUGAAGUACGUCAGUAACAAUGGCAGGGAAAGGGUAUCUUAAAUUUCACCACAGCCUCAAAGAGGCCAUUUCGUGGAUCCGCUGAGGCUUGGAGUCGGCCUUCUGACCACGAGUCCUGCGGCUAUGAAAGAGGAAGCCGCGGUUCAGGGCGUCCUCGCGAGUCGUGCAGCCCGCCCUGCUCCAGCUGGGGACACCGGUGGUCACGGCGCUUUCCAGCUGCAGAUCCAGGCGGCAGCCCAAGAUUUGGUCCAGCCGCCAAGGGGUGGCUCGAGUGACUGACGGGCCUUGAACGCUCCCAGGACCCACAUCUGGAGAGGGAGGUGGGGGUGGGGUGCUGAAGUCAUUCUUGGGGCCCCUGGGGGCGGGCAUGGACCUGGGUAAGGCCAGAGAAAUUGACACCUCGUGACAUCCCUGGAAGAGAAGUACGUUCAGUGUCACUCCAGAGCUGAAACCGCCUUCUGGCUGGUCCCUCCUCACCUACAUACUUUUCUAAUUUGUCUGGAGCAGGCCGGGCAUCUGUAUUAUCUGGUUAUUUAAAUAUCUGGUUAUUUAAAAGCUCUCCAUUAAAUUCACAUACACGAAAAUAAAAAUUAAAAAAAAUUUUAAAAAAAAGAAACAAAAGCUCUCUAAUGACCAAGUCCUACACGAUAGUGAAUAAAUUUUUUUGUGUGGUCCCUAAAAUUGAGUUCAUGCCUUUUCUGAAGUAAUAGACGCCCAGAGAAGGGAUCGACUUACCCAUCAUGCCACAGAGAUUAAUUGGCCCCAGAAUUCUUUAGCAGACCGUGUAUAUGAACGUCCUUUGCAAUCAUAUAAAUUAACUGGGAAAACCUCAUUUAGUAUGUUACAUGCCUAGCGUUUUGUGCCUGAACACCUUACAAGAACCAGGGACUAUUGCCCCAAUAUUAUAUUUCAGGAAAGGAAGGCCCAGACAAAUGGUGUCACUGGUCCACUUUCACCCAGUUGGUAAAUGAAACCAGAAAUUAUAGCUGUACCACAGAAAGGUGAAAACGUUUCUUUUAUAAUUUCACAUACAAUCUUUAAUGGACCCAGUGUCCAACACAUUAAAGCAAGUGCUCAGGAGUGACAUCAAGAUGUAAAAAAUAGUCCUGUCCUCAGGGAGUUUAGGUCUUGGAGAAAAGAGACCCAAGGAGACACAAGACAAAGGGGAAAGAGAAGGAGCGCUGAAGACUGAGGACCCUGCCUGUGGACUGAAGUGAGGAUGGGGACACCCGAUGCCCGGAAUAUGACAGUUUGGAGGGGCCUGAAGGACUCUUCUAUUCUCUAUCAGAAAAACAGAAUUACUCUCCUAACCAGAAAAGGUAUUUCAAUUUAUAUUUUCCAUCACAGCACUUUUCUGGUGAUAAUUUAAUGUGUUUUAAAAAAUGUAUCACAGUGAUGGCCUGGUGUGAAAUAAAUAAUAAAAUUUUAAGAAUUAAAAAAUAUAAAAAUCUUUUAUAUAGACAUUAGGAGUUACAAGGAUAACUGUGAAUUAUAAUUAGUAAUUAAAUUGAAAUACUGAUUAUUUUCAUUUUUAUUUAAUUAUUUAAUAAAACCUAUUUAACAUUUAAUAUUUAUCAGUAAUUAAAUCUAAUUGUUAAUAUUUAUUAUUAUAAAUUAUUUUAGAAUUAAAAAUAAGUGUAGAAGCGAGGCAUGGUGGCUCAAGCCUGUAAUCCCAACACUUUGGGAGGCUAAGGUGGGAGGAUUGCUUGAGCCCAGUAGUUCAAGACCAGCCUGGGCAACAUGGAGAAACCCUGUCUCAAUACAAAAAAAUGAGCCAUGUGUGGUGGUGCGUGCCUGUAGUCCCAGCCAUUCUGGAGGCUGAGGUGGGAGGAUGACUUGAGCCUAGGCAGUCAAGGCUGCAGUGAGCCCUGAUCUUGCCACUGCACUCCAGUCUGGGCAACAGAGCAAGACCCUGUGUCAAUAUACAUAUGGACAAACUUAAAAUUUAAAAUGAAAGCAUACUACUGAUACAGAAUUGAGUAGAGAUGCAAAGCUAGUCCUAUAACCAGAACAAUAAAGAUAAAAAGGAGAGUGGAAGAAGGUAUGUCAUGAAUUUCAUGAUAAAUGGCAAUUGCAAAUAUCCUGUAGCAGAACAAAACAACAAAACUGUAGAUAAAACAUAUCCAACCCUUUGGAAGGCCAAGGAGGGAGGAUUGUUUGAGCCCAGAAGUUGGAGACCAGCCUGGGCAACAUAGUGAGACCCUGUAUCUAAAAAGGAAGAAAGAAAAAAAAAAAAAGGAUGAUAAAGUAGACAAUAUUGAAAGCCAUUUUCUGCAAAUACAUAGUGAAUUUGAUCAGUAAUUUUCUUCCAACAGUGCAAAAAUGAAUAGAUAUUAGUUGCCUGAAAUAAAAAUCAAAUAUCCAACAAAAAAUAUUGACUAUCUAAUAGUAUCUAAGCUAGUAAAUUUGGCCAGUUAUAAAAUGUCUUAAAUUUUUAUUUAAAAAAAGAAAACCAUAUUUAUAAGAAGAGGUGAUAAAGAGAAAUUAUUUCAGUUAUGAAGAUUUUGUUAGAAAACUAUGAGAAAAAAACUAUUUUUUGUUUUCAAAAAGUGAAAGAUUAAGUUACCAAACAGUUGCUAAAGAAUACCAGAUGGCUGAGCGUGGUGACUUAUGCCUGUAAUCCCAGUACUUUGGAAGGCCAAGGCAGGAGGAUCAUUUUAGGCCUGGAGUUCGAGACCAGCCUGGGCACUGUAGCAAGACCCGUCUCUAUUAAAAAAAAAAAAAAAAAAAAAAAAGAAUACAAGACCUUGCUAACAAUAGCAAAGAUCAAUUAAUUCAAAAUUUGAAAAACUGUAAUUUAUUUAGCUUUAGAGUACUCUCGUGAUAUGAGAUUGCCAAAUUAAUACUUUGGGUGCAUUUCUUUUCUCAAAGGACUUGCAAAUUUACAAAGAAGUGUUGAAGAAAAGCCACACAUUGGCAGGUAAUGUUUGCAAAAGACAGAUCUGAUGAAGAACAAUAUUUUUAGAAUAUACAAAGAAUACUUAAAACUCAACAGUAAGAAAAUAACCUGAUUUAAAGCAGGCCAAUGACCUGAACAUCUGUUCACCAAAGAAGAUACACAGAUGCAAGUAUGCAUAUGAAAAGAUGCUUGACAUCAUGUCAUUAGGGAACUGCAAAUUAAAACAAGUAGAUACCACUGCAUACCUAGUAGAAUGACCAAAAUUUAGAACACUGUCAGCACCAAAGGUUGCAAAGAUAUGUAGCAAUAGUAACUUGUUCAUUACUGGUGAGAAUGCAAAAUGUGCAAUCACUUUGGAAGACAGUUUGGUGGUUUCUUACAAAAGUAACCAUACUUUUACCAUAAGAUUCACCAAUCACACUCCUUAGUAUUUAUCCAAAGGAAUUGAAAACUUAUCUCCACACAAAAACCUGCACAUAGAUGUUUAUAGCAGCUUUAUUCAUAAUUUAUCCAAAACUUGGAAACAAGAUGUCUUUCAGUAGGUAAGUGGAUAACUGUGGUACUUCUGAAUAAUGGAAACUCCGGCCUCAUAGUCCAGAAAAA